rnacentral:rRNA from 1 species
AUUGAACGCUGGCGGCAUGCCUUACACAUGCAAGUCGAACGGCAGCACGGGUGCUUGCACCUGGUGGCGAGUGGCGAACGGGUGAGUAAUACAUCGGAACAUGUCCUGUAGUGGGGGAUAGCCCGGCGAAAGCCGGAUUAAUACCGCAUACGAUCUACGGAUGAAAGCGGGGGACCUUCGGGCCUCGCGCUAUAGGGUUGGCCGAUGGCUGAUUAGCUAGUUGGUGGGGUAAAGGCCUACCAAGGCGACGAUCAGUAGCUGGUCUGAGAGGACGACCAGCCACACUGGGACUGAGACACGGCCCAGACUCCUACGGGAGGCAGCAGUGGGGAAUUUUGGACAAUGGGCGAAAGCCUGAUCCAGCAAUGCCGCGUGUGUGAAGAAGGCCUUCGGGUUGUAAAGCACUUUUGUCCGGAGAGAAAUCCUUGGUUCUAAUAUAGCCGGGGGAUGACGGUACCGGAAGAAUAAGCACCGGCUAACUACGUGCCAGCAGCCGCGGUAAUACGUAGGGUGCGAGCGUUAAUCGGAAUUACUGGGCGUAAAGCGUGCGCAGGCGGUUUGCUAAGACCGAUGUGAAAUCCCCGGGCUCAACCUGGGAACUGCAUUGGUGACUGGCAGGCUAGAGUAUGGCAGAGGGGGGUAGAAUUCCACGUGUAGCAGUGAAAUGCGUAGAGAUGUGGAGGAAUACCGAUGGCGAAGGC